rnacentral:rRNA from 1 species
UACGAAGGUGGCAAGCGUUGUUCGGAUUUACUGGGCGUACAGGGAGCGUAGGCGGUUGGGUAAGCCCUCCGUGAAAUCUCCGGGCCUAACCCGGAAAGUGCAGAGGGGACUGCUCGGCUUGAGGACGGGAGAGGAGCGCGGAAUUCCCGGUGUAGCGGUGAAAUGCGUAGAUAUCGAGAGGAACACCUGAGGUGAAGACGGGUUGCUGGGCCGACACUGACGCUGAGUGCGCGAAAGCCAGGGGAGCAAACGGG